rnacentral:rRNA from 1 species
UACGUAGGCAGCGAGCGUUGUCCGGAAUCAUUGGGCGUAAAGAGCGUGUAGGCGGUCCGGUAAGUCUGCUGUGAAAGUCGGGGGCUCAACCCUCGAAUGCCGGUGGAUACUGUCGGGCUAGAGUGCGGAAGAGGCGAGUGGAAUUCCUGGUGUAGCGGUGAAAUGCGUAGAUAUCUGGAGGAACACCGGUGGCGAAGGCGACGUCCUGGACCGGCAUUGACGGCUGAGGCGCGGAAAGCCAGGGGAGCAAACGGG